AUUGCUCCAUUCCAUCGAUACGACGCAGAAGACUUUGUUACCUUAUCUUGUAAAGCGGUUAAUAGUUAUUAGUAAUACACAUGUCAUCAUUUGUUUUAGUCUUGCAAACGAUCCAACCCGACGUGUCGUAUUGUUGGUUCUGGUUGGUUGAUUUUUCCUUUUAUUAUGCAUCGUUUGUGUCGUAAAAUACCAUUCUUCUCUACUCCGUUACAGAGUAUUACAAGGCUUUGGAACAAAGACAAAUGUAACCUAUUUGUAUUAUUCCCUUUCCCUUUACUACACGUGUGCAAGAGCUUUCCUACGUAACUGGUGAAAGACUAAUUCGGAUAGAAACAUUCACUAACUCUUUUUGCGUCUUUCACUCACUCACUCACACACCAUUUCGAUGUUGACGCUUGUGCUGUUGUAUACAUGCGUGGCUGCGCCACACGUAUUACGUUGCCCGUUCAGGUCAACUGUUUACUGGUCGAAGAUGUUAUCAGCCACAUCUUCAUUCUAAAGCUGUUGCAAACAUCAUUCGAACAAAAUAAAAAAAAAAAAACAAAUACACAUUUUGUAUCGAAGCAUACCAAGGUGCAGUUUACCGUAAAAUCAAACAAGCGCAGUUAAAAUUAGUGACACUCAGCUUUGGUGGUGAACGCUACUAUGGAACAGACCUAUCUAGUAUUUUCAUCAUAAACUAGUCUAGAUGUUAUCGAUUUACAAAGCAGUUACAUUUAUAAAGAAAAGGAACCCUUAAAGCGUACAGUGCCUUUCCAGACAACGCUAAUUCCUCUACCUGUAUGAAUCUUCUACGAGACCGUGCCGGCUCGCUUCAGACAACCGUAGAGCAAUAGGUGUCUAGCAGCACAAUUCUUCCUCCUAUGUGGUAGCGGAAGCAGAAUAAAGCACGUAAGCUUUUCACUUAGUUGGUUGUUUGCGAAUUUAACCUGCCGUUCUGUUGGAGUUUGCUAACAUUUUUUAAUCACGAAAAAAUAUGUUUCUUCCUCGAAAGUCGCUUUACAUUGUUGCAGCUGGUCUCAUCAACGCUAUACACUAUUUGCUCACAAAUAUUGCUUGAUGAGUGCUUACGGGGAAAAGCGGGGAAUUUGAAAAAGUUUGUCAACGCGUCAACGGGAACAUGUGUACAUGUUUGUGAAGCUAAUGAACCACAGCGAAGGUACGGUGGAUAGAGAGAACAUUUCUAUUGCUUCCGGUGCUUCUCAAGAUUCUAAUCCUCGCUUAAAAUUUGUAUUGCUUUCGUAACGCAAUUUGGACGGCGUUCAAGUAUCUUCGUGACAUAUCCAUGUAUGUCGCAUUCUGUGACACCCGAAAGGACAAUUGAUUACAUUCCUUUCCUUACCUCUUCGCUAUGCGACUUCCGACCGGAUCGAGAGAUGAUGUUUUUUUGGAUGGAUUCACACCUACUGGACACGUCUACGGAUAUCUAUUACCGAUAACAAAAAUCCAAGUAGAAACAAACAACCGACAAAAAGCGCAAAUGGUCAACGCAAAUCAGGCAACGCAACAUCAUUUAAUGGAGUAAAAGUACCAAAUCGAAAAGAUUGUCUCUUUGCUUCAUGUUAUUAAUUUUUUUUU